rnacentral:rRNA from 1 species
GAUGAACGCUGGCGGUAUGCUUAACACAUGCAAGUCGAACGGACUCUUCGGAGUUAGUGGCGGACGGGUGAGUAACGCGUGAGAAUCUGGCUUUGGGUUCGGGACAACCACUGGAAACGGUGGCUAAUACCGGAUGUGCCGAGAGGUAAAAGAGAAAUUGCCUGAAGAUGAGCUCGCGUCUGAUUAGCUAGUUGGUGAGGUAAAGGCUCACCAAGGCAGCGAUCAGUAGCUGGGCUGAGAGGAUGACCAGCCACACGGGGAAUGAGACACGGCCCAGACUCCUACGGGAGGCAGCAGUGGGGAAUUCUCCGCAAUGGGCGAACGCCUGACGGAGCAAUACCGCGUGAGGGAAGAAGGCUCUGGGGUUGUAAACCUCUUUUCUUAGGGAAGAACAAAAUGACGGUACCUAAGGAAUAAGCAUCGGCUAACUCCGUG